rnacentral:rRNA from 1 species
GACGAACGCUGGCGGCGUGCUUAACACAUGCAAGUCGAACGGAAAGGCCCUGCUUUUGUGGGGUGCUCGAGUGGCGAACGGGUGAGUAACACGUGAGUAACCUGCCCUUGACUUUGGGAUAACUUCAGGAAACUGGGGCUAAUACCGGAUAGGAGCUCCUGCUGCAUGGUGGGGGUUGGAAAGUUUCGGCGGUUGGGGAUGGAAUCGCGGCUUAUCAGCUUGUUAGGGGAGUAGGUGAUUACCCAGGCUUUGAAGGGUAGCCGACCCUGGAGCGUGACCAGCCACAAUGGGACUAAGGUACGGCCCAGACUCCUACGUGAGGCAGCAGUGGGGAAUAUUGCACAACGGGCGGAAGCCUGAUGCAGAAACGCCGCGUGCGUAAUGACGGCUUUCGGGUUGUAAACCGCUUUCGCCUGUGACGAAGCGUGAGUGACGGUAAUGGGUAAAGAAGCACCGGCUAACUACGUG